GCAAGUCUGGUGCCAGCAGCCGCGGUAAUUCCAGCUCCAAUAGCGUAUAUUAAAGUUGUUGCAGUUAAAAAGCUCGUAGUUGAACUUCAGGUCUGGUGGGCCGGUCCGCCUCACGGUGUGUACUGGUCGACUGGACCUUACCUCUUGGUGAGCCGUCAUGCCGUUUAUUCGGUGUGGCGGGGAACCAGGACUUUUACUUUGAAAAAAUUAGAGUGUUCAAAGCAGGCCUAUGCCCGAAUACAUUAGCAUGGAAUAAUAGAAUAGGACGUGCGGUUCUAUUUUGUUGGUUUCUAGGAUCGCCGUAAUGAUUAAUAGGGAUAGUUGGGGGCAUUAGUAUUCAGUCGCUAGAGGUGAAAUUCUUGGAUUGACUGAAGACUAACUACUGCGAAAGCAUUUGCCAAA
rnacentral:rRNA from 2 species